AGCUCCAAUAGCGUAUAUUAAAGUUGCUGCAGUUAAAAAGCUCGUAGUUGGAUUUGUGGCGCGAUCGUCCGGCGGGGCUCCUUCAUUGGGGCCGUUUGUCUGGUUUUUCGAUCGCUCCAUUCUCGGGUAGUGUGUCGCUGGCAUUAGGUUGUCGGCUUCUUCACGCCCGUCGUUUACUGUGAAAAAAUUAGAGUGUUCAAAGCAGGCUUAGGCCGUUGGAUACAUUAGCAUGGAAUAAUGAGAUAGGGCCACGACGGUCUAUUUCGUUGGUUUGCACGUUGUGGUAAUGAUUAACAGGAACGGUUGGGGGUAUUCGUAUUCAAUUGUCAGAGGUGAAAUUCUUGGAUUUAUGGAAGACGAACUACUGCGAAAGCAUUUACCAAGGAUGUUUUCAUUAAUC
rnacentral:rRNA from 1 species